rnacentral:ncRNA from 1 species
GCCUUAUUAUCAUCUUUUUCUCGACUUACACAUGCAAGUCUCAGCACACCAGUGAGAAAGCCCUUUUUACCUUCACCAGACAAAGGAGCCGGUAUUAGGCACAACCCAAAUUGCCCAAAACACCUAGUUUCACCACACCCCCAAGGGUAGUCAGCAGUGAUAAAUCUUGUUCAUAAGCGAAAGCUUGACCCAGUUAGAGAGAAGAGAGUUGGCCAACUUGGUGCCAGCCGCCGCGGCUAAACCAAGGACUCAAGUUGAUAAUGAUCGGCGUCAAGCGUGAUUAAAGAUUACAGAAAUUAAGGUUAAAUUAAUGCUUAGCAGUGAAAAGCUUGCUAUUAAGAAAAACAUACACGAAAGUUACCCUAAUUAAAUACUUGAAUACACGACAGUUGAGAAACAAACCAGGAUUAGAUACCCUAUUAUGCUCAAUCGUAAACAAUUAACUUACACCAAUCAACGCCCGGGAACUACGAGCUAUGCUUAAAACCCAAAGGACUUGGCGGUGCCCCAACCAACUAGAGGAGCCCGUUCUAUAAUCGAUAAUCCCCGCUACACCCAACCAUUUCUUGCUAGUCAGCCUGUAUACCUCCGUCGAAAGUCAACCAUGUGAACGUUACAGUAGGCCUAAUGAUACUCCAUCAAUACGUCAGGUCAAGGUGCAGCUUAUGAAAUGGAAGAAAUUGGCUACAAUCUCUAAUAUAGAACAAACGAAAAACCGUAUGAAACAACGGUCAUGAAGGUGGAUUUAGUAGUAAGAAGAAAGUAGCGAGUUCUUCUUAACCGAGCCCUGGAGCACGUACAUACCGCCCGUCACCCUCUUCGAUAGCCACUAAACGUA